rnacentral:rRNA from 1 species
GAUGAACGCUGGCGGCGUGCCUAAUACAUGCAAGUCGAGCGAACAGACGAGGAGCUUGCUCCUUUGACGUUAGCGGCGGACGGGUGAGUAACACGUGGGUAACCUACCUAUAAGACUGGGAUAACUUCGGGAGACCGGAGCUAAUACCGGAUAAUAUUUCGAACCGCAUGGUUCGAUAGUGAAAGAUGGCUCUGCUAUCACUUAUAGAUGGACCUGCGCCGUAUUAGCUAGUUGGUAAGGUAACGGCUUACCAAGGCAACGAUACGUAGCCGACCUGAGAGGGUGAUCGGCCACACUGGAACUGAGACACGGUCCAGACUCCUACGGGAGGCAGCAGUAGGGAAUCUUCCGCAAUGGGCGAAAGCCUGACGGAGCAACGCCGCGUGAGUGAUGAAGGUCUUCGGAUCGUAAAACUCUGUUAUUAGGGAAGAACAAACGUGUAAGUAACUGUGCACGUCUUGACGGUACCUAAUCAGAAAGCCACGGCUAACUACGUG